UGGGUAACCUGCCUCAAAGAGGGAAAUAGCCUCCCCGGAAAGGGAGAUUAAUACCGCAUAAUAUGUUUAGGUCGCAUGACUUUAACAUCAAAGGAUUUUCUUUUAAGAAAUUCCACUUUGAGAUGGACCCCGCGGCGCAUUAGCUAGUUGGUGAGGUAACGGCUCACCAAGGCAACGAUGCGUAGCCGACCUGAGAGGGUGAUCGGCCACAUUGGAACUGAGGCACGGUCCAGACUCCGUAGGAG
rnacentral:rRNA from 1 species